UACGGGUUGGUGUAAUUAGUAACAUAAUCGGCUCAUGACCGAUUGAUUUAGGUGCAAAUCCUCUAUCCGUUU
rnacentral:tRNA from 1 species